rnacentral:tRNA from 1 species
GGGCUUGUGGCGCAGCUGGGAGCGCACCUGAAUGGCAUUCAGGGGGUCGAGGGUUCGAAUCCCUUCAAGUCCACCA